rnacentral:tRNA from 4 species
GGCCGGGUGGCAGAAUGGCUUAUGCAGCGGAUUGCAAAUCCGUCUAUGCCGGUUCGAUUCCGACCCCGGCCUCCA